rnacentral:rRNA from 1 species
GACGAACGGGGGGGGGGGGGGGAACACAUGCAAGUCGAACGGAAAGGCCCUGCUUUUGUGGGGUGCUCGAGUGGCGAACGGGUGAGUAACACGUGAGUAACCUGCCCUUGACUUUGGGAUAACUUCAGGAAACUGGGGCUAAUACCGGAUAGGAGCUCCUGCUGCAUGGUGGGGGUUGGAAAGUUUCGGCGGUUGGGGAUGGACUCGCGGCUUAUCAGCUUGUUGGUGGGGUAGUGGCUUACCAAGGCUUUGACGGGUAGCCGGCCUGAGAGGGUGACCGGCCACAUUGGGACUGAGAUACGGCCGAGACUCCUACGGGAGGCAGCAGUGGGGAAUAUUGCACAAUGGGCGGAAGCCUGAUGCAGCAACGCCGCGUGCGGGAUGACGGCCUUCGGGUUGUAAACCGCUUUCGCCUGUGACGAAGCGUGAGUGACGGUAAUGGGUAAAGAAGCACCGGCUAACUACGUG